GACGUAGGAGGCGAGCGUUGUCCGGAUUCAUUGGGCGUAAAGAGCACGCAGGCGGUUUGGCAAGUCGGAUGUGAAAACCCGGAGCUCAACUCCGGACCUGCAUCCGAAACUGCCCGACUAGAGGUAGGUAGGGGAGAUCGGAAUUCCUGGUGUAGCGGUGAAAUGCGCAGAUAUCAGGAGGAACACCGGUGGCGAAGGCGGAUCUCUGGGCCGAUACUGACGCUGAGGAGCGAAAGCGUGGGGAGCGAACAGG
rnacentral:rRNA from 1 species